rnacentral:tRNA from 1 species
AAGAAUUUAAGUUAAAUUAAACUCUUAGCCUUCAAAGCUAAUCAUAGACUAUCUAUGUCUAAUUCUUA